GAUGAACGCUGGCGGCGUGCCUAACACAUGCAAGUCGAGCGAACAGACGAGGAUCUUGCUCCUCUGACGUUAGCGGCGGACGGGUGAGUAACACGUGGAUAACCUACCUAUAAGACUGGGAUAACUUCGGGAAACCGGAGCUAAUACCGGAUAAUAUAUUGAACCGCAUGGUUCAAUAGUGAAAGAGGGUUUUGCUGUCACUUAUACAUGGAUCCGCGCCGGAUUAGCUAGUUGGUAAGGUAACGGCUUACCAAGGCCACGAUGCGUUACCGACCUGAGAGGGUGAUCGGCGACACUGGAACUGAGACACGGUCCAGACUCCUACGGGAGGCAGCGGUUGGGAAUCUUGGGCAAUGGGCGAAAUCCUGACGGAGCAACGCCGCGUGGGUGAUGAAGGUCUUCGGAUCGUAAAACUCUGUUAGUAGGGAAGAACGAUUGUGUAAGUAACUAUGCACGUCUUGACGGUACCUAAACAAAAAGCAACGGCUAACUACGUG
rnacentral:rRNA from 1 species